CAGCUUGGCAAGGUGCCGGGCGUCCGUAAUCCCAGCUACUCAGGAGGCUGAGGCACGAGAAUUGCUUGAACCCAGGAGGCGGAAGUUGCAGUGAGCCAAGAUCAUGCCACUCCACUCCAGCCUGGGCAAGAAAGUGAAACUCUGUCCAAAAAAAAAAAAAAAAAAGUCUAUAGUUUUGCAUUUUUAUGUGUAAUAUCUCCCCUGAUGCUUUAUCUUCUGUUCAUUACUUAGACAUUUCAUAAUUAAUAUAAAGAAAAUGUAAUGAAUUUUUCACCAAGUCCAUAUAUCCCCUCUCGUUUACAAACACUAUCCUUUUCAGUAUGUACUGGGACAUACAAACAGGCCAAAAGGUAACAAAUCUCACAUUGUUUCCAUUGCUUCAUCACCAGCCUGGGUGACCAGCGACACAUGACUUAACUCCUUGCAUCCCCAUAUCUGCCUUUGUAAAAUGAGGGUUUAGAUCCAAUUUUCUCUAAGGAUUCCUCUAGCUUGAUAAAUCUAGAUUUAAAUUGUGUCUCAGUUGCGCAGGGAAUCCAGUAGCAGCCGACACCCAGGUGUGGUUGGACUCGUCAGAACCAUUGUAGUCUUUGUUAGUCAUACACAUGCAUGGGUGAAAUCUAGUCAAAACUUUCAUAUCAAGUAUUUCAAAAUGAUGCUCUACUUGGCAGAAAGCACAUGCAGUUUGGGCAGUCACGGGCAGGUAGCCAAGAUGCCUCCAAAGUGGCCUGUGAGCUGCAAAUGACAGUUUCUACAUGUAUAACAUAUACAAAAUAUGAUGUAUAUUUUAGUAGAGAUGGAGUUUCAUACAUAUAUACAAUUUAUAUAUACACAUAUAUAUAUAAUUUGUACACACACACACAGAUUUACAGUAAAUAUGUUUAAAUUUGAAACCAUAGUACCUGAGUUCAAUGCCAACCCUCACUGAAUGUCAGAAAAACAUAGUAAGGCUGUGCAUGGUGGCUCACACCUGUAAUCCCAGCUCUUUGGGAGGCCAAGGCAGGAGCAUCACGUGAGGCCAGAAGUUUGAGACCAGCCUGGGCAACAUAGUGAGACUUGAUGUAUACUAAAAAUCAAAAAAUAACUAGCUAGGCUUUGCAGCAUGCACCUGUGUCCCAGCUACUCAGGAGGCUGAGGCGGGAGGAGCACUUGAGCCUGGGAGAUGGAGGCUGCGGUGAGCUGUGAUCGCGCCACUGCACUCAAGCCUGGGUGACAGAGCAAGAUUCUGUCUCAAUUAAAAAGAAAAAAAAAGACAUUUACAUUAUGCUCUAUGAUAGUCUAGUGGCCUACACAAAUUCUGCUCUUCCCAUGUUGUGGAUAUGAAAUAAUGAGGCAGGGUUGAUAGCAUUAUUUCAAAAUAUUAUAAGAAGUAGCAGUUCUAAGAAGUCAACUGCAAGGCUAUGCAUGUCCAAGGCUGUGUGUGGGUGAGUGAAAUCGCCUUAUGCCAAGGAGCCAUAACCAAGGGGAAAUUACUUGAUGCAUACACCAGUUCUUGCUUUUCACCUGCUCGGUACAAUGGACCAUACAUAUUACCAAAUGGAAUAAGUAAGACUUUUCAUCUUAGUUACUGAGAAAAAGUAUUCCUUGGUAAAGCAAACACCCAGUGAUUGGCUCUGUUAUUAAAGAAUUAAGUUUACUGUCUUACUAUAGAAAAUCAAGUUUCAGUAGUUGAGUUUCAUUACAUUUUUGUUUCUGAUUGUUACAGUUGCUGGGUGGGAACAAUGUGUAAAGUUUUCACUUGUUUGCUUUCAAGGGUACUGACUUCAUAAUAUAUAGACAUAUACACACACACACAUAUACACACACACAUAUUCAUGUGUGUGUGUGUAUAUGUCUCUGUCAAAGACACAUAUGCAGUAGUUUUUAAGUUAUUACAUUCAUUGCCAAUGAGCAAUGGUGUAUAUAGGGGAAGAUGAACUUGAGACUUGUUCUGGUGUUGUCUCUGGCACUCAGUUUUCCUAUAUUUAAAAUGUGAAGGAAGUAAGGCACUAUGAAAGAUCUUUGAUAUCUGCAAAAUUUUUAGGGCUGUCAAAGACAAGGGACUGUGAAAAGUUGACAGCCCUUUGUUGUUUGACUGGGUUUUUUAACCAAAAGAAUAUAGAAAUCUAUAGCGAUCAUAUUAAUAUGUAUUGAAUAAUACUACUGUCUUAUAGACCAGAUAAAAAUUAAUAUUUUUAAAAUCAUUCUCCAUGUGGAAAAUCUGCUAUAGCCAAAAUAAUCUAAUAAUAUUAAAAAUAUUUCCCUAUCAUCUCCUUAAGUUCUCAAUAUGCUAAAAGCUAAUAUGAUGGAUUUUUAAAAAUCUUAAGUGGUUGUUUAGGAAAAGUUAUUAUAGUUCUUAUUUUUUUUAAUCAUAUAAUUGAUAGACUGUUCUUCUGGAUCCAAGAUUUCAAGGGCUGAGUACAGGUGCUUAGUUAACUUGCAUUUCUUUUUUCAACUUAGCUACGUAAGAACAGUGACAAAUCUAGCAUUAAAAAUAUACAAGAGCGGCCAAGCAUGGUGGCUCACGCCUGUAAUCCUAACUUUGGCAGGCCGAGGCAGGUGGAUCGCCUGAGCUCAGGAGUUCGAGACCAGCCUGGGCAACGCGGAGAAACCCCAUGUCUACUAAAAUACAAAUAUUAGCUUGGCGUGGUGGCGGGCACCUGUAAUCCCAGCUACUGGGGAGGCUGAGGCAAGAGAAUCGCUUGAACCCAGGUGGCAGAGGUUGCAGUGAGCCAAGAUUGUGCCACUGCACUCCAGCCUGGGCAACAGAGCGAGACUGUGUCUCAAAAAAAUAAAAUAUACACAAGCUAAUAAAAAAAUUAAAGUGGAUUAUUAGAAUCAUGACCAAAGCAAUUGUUAUUUGGUGUAUCAUUCUGUAUAAAAUACUUUAAAAUUUUAAAAUAUCUGUAGAUGUGCCAAAAUAGUGAUAAUACAAGUGUAAGGUUUUUUUAAUUUUAAUUUUGUUUUUCCAUAAAUUAUUGCGGUACAGGUGGUAUUUGGUUACAUAAGUUUUUAGUGGUGAAUUGAGAGAUAUUGGUGCACCCAUCACCCGAGCAGUAUAUACUGCACUGUAUUUGUUGUCUCUUAUCCCUCGCCCCCCUCCCACUCUUCCCCCCAAGUCCCCAAAGUCCAUUGUAUCAUUCUUAUGCCUUUGCAUCCUCAUAGCUUAGCUAUCACAUAUCAGCGAGAACAUAUGAUGUUUGGUUUUCCAUUCCUGAGUUACUUCACUUAGAAUAAUAGUCUCCAAUCUCAUCCAGGUCACUGCAAAUGCUGUUAACUCAUUCAUUUUUAUGGCUGAGUAGUAUUCCAUCAUAUGUGUGUGUGUGUGUGUGUGUGUGUGUAUAUAUAUAUAUACACACACACACACACACACACACACAUACCACAGUUUCUUUAUCCAAUUGUUGAUUGAUGGGCAUGUGGGUUGGUUCCACGAUUUUGCGAUUGUGAAAUGUGCUGCUAUAAACGUGUGUGCAAGUAUCUAUUUCGAAUAUGACUUCUUUUCCUCUGAGUAGAUACCCAGUAGUGGGAUUGCUGGAUCAAAUGGUGGUUCUACUUUUAGCUCUUUAAGGAAUCUCCACACUGUUUUCCAUAGUGGCUGUACUAGUUUACAUUCCCACCAGUAGUGUAGAAGUGUUUUCUGCUCACUGCAUCCAUGCCAACAUCUACCAUUUUUGAUUCUUUGAUUAUGACCAUUCUUGCAGGAGUAAGGUGGUAUCGCAUUGUGGUUUUGAUUUGCAUUUCCCUAAUCUUUAGUGAUGUUGAGUAUUUUUUCAUAUGUUUGUUGGCCGUGUGUAUAUCUUCUUUUGAGAAUUGUCUAUUCAUGUCCUUAGCCCACUUUUUGACAGGAUUGUUCUUUUCUUACUGAUUUGUUUGGGUUGGUUGGAGAUUCUGGAUAUUAGUCCACUGUCAGAUGUAUAGAUUGUGAAGAUUUUCUCCCACUCUGUGUGUUGUCUGUUUACUCUGCUGACUGUUCCUUUUGCUGUGCAAAAGCUCUUUAGUUUAAUUAGGUCCCAGCUAUUUAUCUUUGUUUUUAUUGCAAUUGUUUUUGGGUUUUUGAUCAUGAAAUCCUGGCCUAAGCCAGUGUCGAGAAGGGUUUUUCCAAUGUUGUCUUCUAGAAUUUUUAUAGUUUCAGGUUUUAGGUUUAAGUCGUUAAUCCAACUUGAGUUGAUUUUUCUAUCAGGUGAGAGAUGAGGAUCCAGUUUCAUUCUCAUACAUGUGGCUAGCCAAUUAUCCCAGCACCAUUUGUUGAAAAGGGUGUCCUUUCCCCACUGUGUUUUUGUUUGCUUUGUUGAAGAUCAGUUGGCUGUAAGUAUUUGAGUUUAUUUCUGGGUUCUCUAUUCUAUUCCUUUGGUCUAUGUGCCUAUGACAAAUUUAUUUAGAAGAAAUAUUUUCUUAUCUUUUCAUGCUUUGCUUUAGAUAUUGCUACAAACUUUAUUUAAUAGUAAUUUUAAAUUUUGACUAGUAAAGUUAUGUGAACCAUGUACGGCAAAAUAAAGGAUUUCACUUAGACUUGUUUGCAGAGAUAGCACCUUAAGCUUCCAUUAGAUCUGUUUUUAUCAGCUCAUCUUAUCUCUGAGCUACCUGACACUUUAUCUGUCUCAUCAGGUACAAUCAUUUAAAAACCACUGAGCUAGGUUAUCUUAAAAUUUUCUUUAAAAUAUGCAAAUAAUAUAUUUAUCUUUUUUGAUAAAACAUUUAACAAACAGAAGUCUCCCCUUUACUUCACUCUUCGAAAUUCCACUCCCCUCCCCAGAGGUAACCUCUUACCCAUAUUCUCUGUUUGGCUCUGCGUUCAUGUUUGUUUGUGUUUGAGAUGGAGUCUCACUUUGUCACCUACGCUGGAGUCUCACUCUGUCACCUAGGCUGGAGUGCAGUGGCACGAUCUGGGCUCAUUGCAACCUCCGCCUCCCCAGUUCAAGCGAUUCUCUUGCCUCAGCCUCCCAAGUAACUGAGAUUACAGGCACCUGCCGCCACGCCCAACUAAUUUUUGUAUUUUUAGUAGAGAUGGGGUUUCACCAUGUUGGCCAGCCUGGUCUUGAAUUCCUGACCUCAGGUGAUCCAUCCACCUCAGCCUCCCAAAGCGCUAAGAUUACAGGCGUAAGCCACUGCACCCGGGCUGUUUGUUUUGAGAAAGGGUCUCACUCUGUCACCCAGGCUGGAAUGCAGUGGCACAAUCAUGGCUCACUGCAGCCUCAACAUCCUGGGGGCAAGCAGUCCUCUCACCUCAGCCUUCUGAGUUGCUGGGGCUACAGGAAUGCACCACCAUGCGCUGCUUCUUUUUAUUUUUUUGUAGAGACAAGGUCUCAUCAUUUUGCCCAGGCGGGUCUCGAACUCCUAGGGUCAAGUGAUCCUCCCACCUCAGCUUCCCAAAGUGUUGGGAUUACAGGCAUGUGCCACUACACGUAGCUUUUGUUUUUCAUUCAACAGUAUGGAGCUCUUUGCAUGUGACUGUUUAUAAUUUUUCUCAUCUUUUUUAAGUGCUUUGAAGGAUUCCAAAGUAUAUCGAUGGACAUUUAGUUUGUUUUCAGAGCUUUGUAGUUAUAAGUAAUGCUGCAGUGAACAUCAUAUGUUUACAUAUCUAACAGUUUAUAUAAUAGAUAACAGAUACACAAUAAAGAAUAGAUGUGGUAGGUGCACAUUUAUUUUGUAAGAUACUACUGAAGUGCUUUCCAAAAUGUCUGAAUCACUGCACACUCCCAGCAGUGGGGAGAAUGCGUUUUUCCCCAGACACUCAGAAACAGUAAUUACCAUAGCUAAUGAAUCUAUGACAUCAGUGAACACACUUGGAAGAGUGAGAGGAUUACUCUAUUCCCAUCACCGCGUUCAUUUUCACAGAUUCCUAGGGCACCCUGCAAAAGACAUUCCUGGGGAGAUGGGGCCGACAGGGCUCCAACCCUAAUCUGACAAAGGGUCCAUUGUGACUACUGAUGCACAGGUGCCUGUGUCAGGGCAAGUGAAAGGAGAAGGCACAUCAGAACAGAGAACCCUCUAACCUGGGAAAUCUGAUCUGAAAGGGUAGCAAAAAAGAAUGUGAUUGUGACUCCCAUGUUAAAUACAAAAGACUCUUAGCAGUUGCCCUGUGUUCCAAGCCACUAUUUUUGACCAAGAUCAAAUCAAUAGCCUGUAACCCACAUACUUCAUGUAGAAUUCAACCAGCUCACCACUGAGUGAAAACCACGGCAGGCACUGUACUGGGCUGGCUAAGAAACAGCCCCUUCCCUGAAGGAUCAUACAGCCCAAGAUGGUAGUUAGGAGAGUAAAUCACUCAGUGGGAUUGGCCAUGAUGGGAGUUGGCACAGGGUAAACACAGAAAUGAGAAACUGCAGCCCAAAAGGGAGGGCUGGAGAAGAACAAGGCCUUGAAGAAUGAGCAGGAGUUCCAUGGAUAAAGAAGGAAAUAAGUGGUUUCACUGACAGAGAAAAAGAGUGUAUAUGAAGCAUGGAAGCAUGAAACAGUAUGACCAGUUUGGAGAACUACAAGUUGUCAAGUGCUUGCAGCAACGCAAGGUUAGAGAGGUCAACAGAUGGGUCCAGGGAUCUAUAAUUGCCAUUUUGUAAAUCAAAUCAUGUUGGAAAAAUAAAUUUACUUAACAUUCACACUACCCUCUUGGUUGCUGAGUCACUGAAUUCCAGAAGCCUCUGGGGACAACAACUCAUUGUAGCAGAGGAAGAGAAAAAAGAUGCUACUCUGUCCUCAACGUUACUGGUUAGAGACAGAACCAGGCUGAAGCGACCCAGUGGUCUUAUUCAUAAGGGCAAGAUGAGGUUCUGCGAACAGUUCUCCAUGUAGUGGUCUUUGAAUGCCAUCCUAACCACGUAUCCAGGGGACUGCUUUUAACAUGAUUGCAAUCUUAUAAGUACAAAUGGGCCAGCACCCUUCUUCCUAUCCUUUCUAACCACCUGCAACUCAGUAAAGAAACGAACUCUGCAACUCCCAUUUAUUCAUUCAACAAAAUAUAUAGGCAGGAAAAUGUCAUUACAACGUAUGCUUCUAGGCAGGAUGAAAUAACAGGAGUCAGAUUCACCUUCUACCUGAUACCACAGAAAAAACAGACAAAAUAUAUGAAAUGAAGAUUUUUAAGACAUUGGAUAUGAGAUAUCUGAAAGGUGGGAAACAAGGAGAGCCCUGCUUGCCCCAGCCUACUGCCAUGCCAUGGAGAGUUUGCAUGCCAUGGAGCAGAAAGAGGGAGCAACGGUAGAGCCUGGGGUAUCUCUGAAGUGUGAUAGAGCUGGGUGUAAGUAGCAGAGGCAGCUAAAGAUUACAGGGCAAGGGCUGAGUGUGGAGAAUAGCUAUAGGAAUACAAAAAUAUCCACACCCAAUAAUGUAAAAUAUACAAUAUCUGACAUCCAAUGAAAAGUUGCCAGGCAUACAAAGCAGCAGACAAAGAUGGUUCCUAAUGAGGGAAAAAAUGAAUUAAUGAAAAUCAGCCAGAAAUAACACAGAUGAUAGAAUUAGCAGACAAAGAUGUUAUAACAGUUACUCUAAUUGUACUCCAGUGCUCAAGAAGGUAGAGGAAAGAUUAAGUUAUAGAAACAUGGUAGAUAUGGAAAAUACUCAAACCUGAUAAGGGGCAAAUAUGAAAGCCAUACAGCUAAUAUCAUACUUAAUGGUAAAAUACAUUUCUCCUAAGAUUGAGAACAAGGGAUUGUUGCCCACUCUUACUACUUCUAUCAACAUUGUACUGGUUGUUUCAGCCAGUGCAACCAGGCAAGAUAAAGAAGUAAAAGGCAUCCAGAUUGAAAAGGAAGAUGUAAAAUUGUUUUUUUUUUUUUUGAAGAUGACAUGAUUGUCUAUGUAGGAAACCUUUGGAAUCUACAAAAAAUUUUAAAAAUUACUAGAAUCAAUAAGUGAGUUUAACAAGGUUGCACGAUGCAAGAUCUCUGUAUAAAAUCAAUUAUAUUUCUAUCUUCUAGCAAUGAAUAACCAGAAAUUGAAUUUCAAAACAAUACCAUCAGUGAUGCAGGAAACUCUGUGAGUUUGCAAGAGGCAGAAUAAUGACCCCCAAAUACGCCCAUGUCCUAAUCCCCAGAACUUGAGCAUAUGUUACCCUACGUGGCAAAUGGAACUUUGCAGAUGUGAUUAAGGACCUGCAGUGAAGGAGAUUUAUCCAAGUGGACCUAAUCUAAUCACAUGGAUAGCAGAUAAUUUUUUUCUGCUCUGUCAGAGGUGUGACUACUGAAGAAGGGUUGCAGUGAGAUGCAAUUCUGCUGACUUUGAAGAUGGAAAAAGGAAGCCGUGAUCCCAGGAAUGUGUGUGGCCUCCAGAAGCUGGAAUGUGCAAGGAAAUGGGUUGUCUCCUUGGGGCCCUAGAAAGGAAGGCAGACCUGCUGACACCUUGAUGUCAGCCCAUGUGAUCUAUGCUGUAAUUCUAAUCUAUAGAGAACUGUAAGAUAAUACAUUUGUUGUUUUAAACCACUAAGCCUGUGGUGAUUUUUUAUGGCAGCAGUAGCAAUCUGUAUAGGAUAAAUCUGCAAAUUAUCAGUAAAUCCUACACACUGAAUACUGUAAAACAUAGCUGAGAGGAAUUAGACAAAACUUAGAGCUAUCAUGUUCAUGGAAGACUUGAUGUUGUUAAGAUGAAAAUUCUCAAAUUGACCUAUAGAUUCAAACCAAUCCCAAACAAAAUUCCAGCAGAUUUUCUAGUAGAAAUUGUUGAUUCUCAGGUUCAUAUAGAAAUGCAAAGGACCUAGAAUAGUUGAAGAAAUCUUGGAAGUUGAAAAGUUGGAGGACUUAUACUACCUGAUUUAUUAUAAUAAAGUUAUAGUGAGGAAAACAGUGUGCUAAUGGUAUAAAGACAGACAAAUAUAUCAGCAGAAUUGAAAAGAGUCCAAAAUUAGAUCUGCACACAUAAUACAGUCAAUUGAUUUUCAACAAAGGUGCAAAUGGAAUUCAGUAGAGAAAGGAUAAGCAUUUUCAACUGUGAUGCUGGGGCAACUGGAUGUUCAAAUGCAAAUACAUGAACAUUAAUGAAAACCUCACACAUAUACAAAAACUAAUUCAUAAUUGAUCAGGCUGGGCACUGUGGCCCACACUUGUAAUCCCAGCACUUUGGGAAGCCAAGGCAGGCAGCUUGCUUGAGCCCAGGAGUUCAAGACCUGCCUGGGCAACAUGGCAAGACCCUGUCUCUACAAAAAAUUAGCCAGGCAUGGUGGUGCAUGCUUAUGGUCCCAACUACUUGGGAAGCUGAGGUGGGAGGAUCACUUGAGUCCAGGGAGGUUGAUACGGUUUUGCUCUGUGUCCCUACCCAAAUCUCAUCUUGAAUUGUACUCUCAUAAUUCCCACAUGUUGUGGGAGGGAUCCAGUAGGACAUAAUUGCAAUCAUGGGGGUGGUUUCCCCCAUACUGUUCUCGUGGUACUGAAUAAGUCUCAUGAGAUCUGAUGAUUUUAUCAGGGGUUUCCGCUUUUGCAUCUUCCACAUUUUCUCUUGAUGCCACUACGUAAGAAGUGCCUUUUGCCUUCUGCCAUGAUUCUGAGGCCUCCCGGGCCAUGUGGAACUGUAAGUCCAAUUAAACCUCUUUUUCUUCCCAGUCUUGGGUAUGUCUUUAUCAGCAGUGUAAAAAUGGACUAAUACAGGGGUUGAGACUUCAGUGAGCCAUGAUCGUGCCACUGCACUCCAGCCUGGGGGACACAGCAAGACCCUGCUACAAAAAUUAAAAACUUUUUUUAAUUGAUCAGUGAACUAUAAAGCCUCUAGAAGAACAUGGGAACAUCUUUGUGACCCUGGGUUAAGGAAAAUUUUCUUAGAUAUAAUGCUAAAAGCAUGAUGCUUAAGAGGAAAAAAUUAAUACGUUGGACUUCAUCAAAAUCAAGAGCUUAAGCUCUUCAACAGGCACCAAAAAGAAAAUGAAAAAACAAGCCUCAGAGAGAAAAUGUCUGCAAAACACUUUAUCAGAUAAAGAACUUGUAUCUAUAAUACAUAUAAAACUCACAACUCAAAAAUAAGAAACCUGACAACCAUGUUUUUAAAAUGGACAAAAUAUUUGGACACUUCACCAAAAAGAUAUAUGGGUACCAAAUAAUAAGAAAACAACCGGCAGGGCGAGGUGGCUCACGACUGUAAUCCCAGCACUUUGGGAUCCGAGGCGGGUGGAUCAUGAGGUCGAGACCAUCCUGAGUAACAUGGUGAAAUCCCAUUUCUACGAAAGAUACAAAAAAUUAGCUAAGCAUAGUGGCACCCCUGUAGUCCCAGCUACUCGGGAGGCUGAGGCAGGAGAAUUGCUUGAACCCUGUAGGCGGAGGUUGCAGUGAGUCCAGAUUGUGCCACUGCACUCCAGCCUGGGCGACUGAGUGAGACUCCGUCUCAAUAAAAAAAAGAAAGAAACAAACAAAGAAAAAAAAAACCUAUUUUUUUAAAUGCGCAAAAUGUUUGAAUACUUCAAAGACAAUAUAUAGUUGGUAAAUAAGCACAUGAAAAGAUGCUCAAUAUCAUUAGUUAUUAGCGAAACACAAGUCAAAACCAUAAUGGGAUACCACUACAUAUGUACUAGAAUGUCUAAAAAUUGCAAAGACUGAUAAUACAAAGCACUGGCAGGGAUGUGGAGCACUGGGAUUUUCCAAGUGUAAAGGUGGAAUAAUGUAAAAUGGUACUUUGGAAACAGAUUAGGCAGUUUCUUUUAAAGUUAAAUACACACACUUAGCAUAUGAUAAAGCCAUUCCAAUCCUAGGUAUUUACUCAUGGGAAAUGAAAGCAUGUCUAUUCAAAAAAGUGUACAAAAUUUUUCAAUAACAGCUUUACUUGUACUAGCCCCAAACCAGAAACAACCUAAAUAUGCAUCAAGAGAUUAAUGAAUAAACAAAUGAGUAUAUCCAUGCUAUGGAAUAUUAUUCAGCAAUACAAGGCAAUGAAGUAUCAGUACUUGCUACAACAUGAGUGAAUGUCAAAAUAUAAUGCUGAGUGAAGAAAGCAAGACCAAAAAACAUGUAUACUGCAUGGUUACAUUUAGAUAAAUUUCUAGCAAAUGCAAACUAAUCUGUGGUGACAGUAAGUCAGGGCUUGUCUGGAGAUGGGGUUAGGUGGGGGAAAGGUGAGAGGGAGGGAUUACAAAAGGGCAUCGGGAAACUUUUGGGGACGAUAGGUAUGUUUAUUAUCUUGAUUGUAGUGACAGUGUUACAUGUGUCAAACAGCAAAUUGUACAUUUUAAAGUAUACUUGAUUAUAUGUCAAUUAUCCCUCAAUAAAGGUGUGAAAAACGUAUUGAGAAUACAUUCAACAAUACAGAUGGUUGGCUAGGUAUUGGAGAUACCAUGUUGAACAAAAAAGACAAAGCAAGGUCUCUGUCUUCAUGGAUUUUAAGAUAUUAAGCAAAGAAUCUUCCCUUCCAUUUCUUUCAUCAGUUUCCACUUCUGCCCACAUACUUGUUCUCUCUGGUGAUUCUUUAUUGUGUGACAGGAGCAAACUGUUAUCACCAACAGGAUUUCUUAAAUCAUCGCCUCAGGUAAGGGCUGCUAGAGUUGGUUGAUCUAACAGUUUGAAACUAGAGUUUGCAGCUAUUUGGAAUAGGAUGUAAUUUUCCUAUUUCUGUUUACAGAGAAAGUUAUAAUCAUUUUUGUGCUUAGAAAAAGCCCGUUCAUUUUCCUCAGAAGAGCCAGCACUGGGUUAGUAACAAAGGCUCAAUUCAAAGACACCUAAGAAGACAUUAAGAAGAGUAUGUGUUCUCUGGCUACAGGUGAAGAGGCUGGAUGUUCUAUAUCUACAUGUGGCUUUCUCUUUUCCCUGUGAACCUUGGGGUUGGGUGUGAGAGGAUGUGAGUGGUAACUAAUGGCAGGUCUGGGGCAAGAGUAAUGAAUGCCUAUAGGAUUGACUCAGGUGCUAAGGCAAAUUCCUUAAACAUACUGGGGUGCAGAAUGGUUUGUAUCAGUAUGGAUAUGCACACAAUCCACCAAAAAAUGGCUGAUUACAGGAUCGGUGAGGCAUUCAUAGGCUUUAUGUUUUUCUUUUCUUUUCUUUUCUGAGACGGUGUCUCCUUCUCUCGCCCAGGCUGGAGUGCAGUGGCGUCAUCUCAGCUCACUACAACCUCCGCCUCCCAGGUUCAAGCGAUUCUCCUGCCUCAGCCUCCCCAGUAGCUGGGAUUACAGGUGCCUGCUACCACACCCGGCUAAUUUUUGAAUUUUUGGUAGAGAUGGGGUUUCACCAUGCUGGCCAGGCUGGUCCUGAACUCCUGGACUUCAGGUGAUCCGCCCGCCUCAGCCUCCCAAAGUGCUGGGUUUACAGGCGUGCACCACCAUGCCCAGCCCACAGGCUUUAAGUCCUGGCAACAGCUACUCUUGACUGGUUGGCAGCAUCACCGUGAGCACUAUGAGCAGGCAGUGCCACCAUGCCAAAGAGAAGUCCAGAAGCCUCCCAAGUCAUAGAAAAUGGACAAAAGUUGGGGUCACCUGAAUCCUUGUAAUUUAAUCCCAUUUUUGUUAUAAAAUAAAGAGUUACUAUGGUUUUUCACUUUCUUAUUCGCUGGGACUUCAAUAAACACCGAUAAUUAUUUGUA
rnacentral:lncRNA from 1 species